rnacentral:rRNA from 1 species
CAGCAGCCGCGGGAAUAUGAAGGGGGCUAGCGUUGCUCGGAAUGACUGGGCGUAAAGGGCGCGUAGGCGGCGGCCAAAGUCAGGGGUGAAAUCCCAGAGCUCAACUCUGGAACUGCCAUUGAUACUGUCGAUCUGGAGUAUGGAAGAGGUGAGUGGAAUUCCGAGUGUAGAGGUGAAAUUCGUAGAUAUUCGGAGGAACACCAGUGGCGAAGGCGGCUCACUGGUCCAUUACUGACGCUGAGGUGCGAAAGCGUGGGGAGCAAACAGGAUUAGAGACUCCUGUAGUCCCUGUCUCUUAUAC